AGGACGAACGCUGGCGGCGUGCCUAACACAUGCAAGUUGAGCGACGAACCAGGGCUUGCCCUGGGGCAAAGCAGCGAACGGGUGAGUAACACGUGGGUAACCUGCCCCGAUAACCGGGACAACCCGAGGAAACUCGGGCUAAUACCGGAUGUGCUCGCUGGACCCAAGUCCAGCGCGUAAAGGAGCUUCGGCCUCCGUAUCGGGAGGGGCUCGCGGCCCAUUAGCUAGUUGGUGAGGUAACGGCUCACCAAGGCAUCGAUGGGUAGCUGGUCUGAGAGGACGAUCAGCCACACUGGGACUGAGACACGGCCCAGACUCCUACGGGAGCAGCAGUGGGAAUCUUGCGCAAUGCGCGAAAGCGUGACGCAGCAACGCCGCGUGGGGGAAGACGG
rnacentral:rRNA from 1 species